AUUGAACGCUGGCGGAAUGCUUUACACAUGCAAGUCGAACGGUAGAGGGGGCAACCCCUCGAGAGUGGCGAACGGGUGAGUAAUAUAUCGGAACGUGCCCAGUCGUGGGGGAUAACGUAGCGAAAGUUACGCUAAUACCGCAUACUAUCUAAGGAUGAAAGCGGGGGAUCGCAAGCCCUCGCGCGAUUGGAGCGGACGAUAUCAGAUUAGGUAGUUGGUGGGGUAAAGGCUCACCAAGCCAACGAUCUGUAGCUGGUCUGAGAGGACGACCAGCCACACUGGAACUGAGACACGGUCCAGACUCCUACGGGAGGCAGCAGUGGGGAAUUUUGGACAAUGGACGCAAGUCUGAUCCAGCCAUUCCGCGUGCAGGAUGAAGGCCCUCGGGUUGUAAACUGCUUUUGUACGGAACGAAAAGGUCUCUCUUAAUACGGGGGGCUCAUGACGGUACCGUAAGAAUAAGCACCGGCUAACUACGUGCCAGCCGCCGCCGUAA
rnacentral:rRNA from 1 species